GUUGGCUAUAUGAAGCAUUGCUGGCUAUUUUUCUCCAUUUUGAAUUCAUCUAAGGACAAACUUAUGCAAAGUGAAUUGAAAGCACUAGAAGUUCUUUUCAUUUUCUCUAGCGUUAUUUGAAGACACCUUUUCCCUGAUUUAGUGCCUGACUUUGGACUGUCAGUGUAAUUGCUUCUCCAUGUGCUAAUAUCGUACUUCACACUAGCUUUUACAGA
rnacentral:misc_RNA from 1 species